GCCGCCGGAUGACGCGAAGGUGCCCCGUUGAGGGGGUAAAAGGGAAGCCGGUGGGAAUCCGGCACGGUCCCGCCACUGUGAGCGGCGCAGCGAGAGCAAGCGCCGAAGUCAGGAAACCUGCCUUUGCGGACAACACCCG
rnacentral:ncRNA from 2 species